rnacentral:rRNA from 1 species
UACGUAGGAGACGAGCGUUGUCCGGAGUUACUGGGCGUAAAGGGUGCGCAGGUGGCGGCGCGCGUGGGGGGUGAAAUCGCCCGGCUUAACUGGGCGGGGGCCUUCCAGACGGCGUGGCUUGAGCAGCGGAGGGGGACGUGGAAUUCCGGGUGGAGCGGUGAAAUGCGUAGAGAUCAGGAAGAACACCCGUGGCGAAGGCGGCCCACUGGGCCGGUACUGACGCUGGAGGCGCGAAGGCGUGGGGAGCGAACGGG